rnacentral:rRNA from 1 species
GACGGGGGAUGCAAGUGUUAUCCGGAAUCACUGGGCGUAAAGCGUCUGCAGGUGGUUUCCUAAGUCCACUGUUAAACCUUGAGGCUCAACCUCAAAUCUGCAUUGGAAACUAGGAGACUUGAGUAUAGUAGGGGUAGAGGGAAUUUCCAGUGGAGCGGUGAAAUGCGUAGAUAUUGGAAAGAACACCGAUGGCGAAGGCACUCUACUGGGCUAUUAUUGACACUAAGAGACGAAAGCUAGGGGAGCAAAUGGG